CGUGUAGGCUGCUUGGAAAGUCGGAUGUGAAAGCCCUGGGCUCAACCUAGGAAGUGCAUUCGAAACUUCCAAGCUCGAGUUUCGGAGAGGAAGGCGGAAUUCUCGGUGUAGAGGUGAAAUUCGUAGAUAUCGAGAGGAACAUCGGUGGCGAAGGCGGCCUUCUGGACGAUGACUGACGCUGAGACGCGAAAGCGUGGGGAGCAAACA
rnacentral:rRNA from 1 species